AGCUGCGGCAGCGAACGUAUCACCCAAGACAACUUUGCACAGUUGACGAUUGACGGAGCGAAGCGACGUCAAAGCGUUUUACAACGUCGAGUUGGCUUAGGGAUACGUUCGUUGGGUAGGGGAGCGUUCUGUAAGCCGUUGAAGGUGGCCUGUGAGGGUUGCUGGAGGUAUCAGAAGUGCGAAUGCUGACAUAAGUAACGAUAAAGCGGGUGAAAAGCCCGCUCGCCGGAAGACCAAGGGUUCCUGUCCAACGUUAAUCGGGGCAGGGUGAGUCGACCCCUAAGGCGAGGCCGAAAGGCGUAGUCGAUGGGAAACGGGUUAAUAUUCCCGUACUUGGUGUUACUGCGAAGGGGGGACGGAGAAGGCUAUGUUGGCCGGGCGACGGUUGUCCCGGUUUAAGCGUGUAGGUGUGUGUUCCAGGUAAAUCCGGUUCACUUUAACACUGAGGCGUGACGACGAGGCACUACGGUGCUGAAGCAACAAAUGCCCUGCUUCCAGGAAAAGCCUCUAAGCCUCAGGUAACAUCAAAUCGUACCCCAAACCGACACAGGUGGUCAGGUAGAGAAUACCAAGGCGCUUGAGAGAACUCGGGUGAAGGAACUAGGCAAAAUGGUGCCGUAACUUCGGGAGAAGGCACGCUGAUAUGUAGGUGAAGUGAUUUACUCAUGGAGCUGAAAUCAGUCGAAGAUACCAGCUGGCUGCAACUGUUUAUUAAAAACACAGCACUGUGCAAACACGAAAGUGGACGUAUACGGUGUGACGCCUGCCCGGUGCCGGAAGGUUAAUUGAUGGGGUCAGCGCAAGCGAAGCUCCUGAUCGAAGCCCCGGUAAACGGCGGCCGUAACUAUAACGGUCCUAAGGUAGCGAAAUUCCUUGUCGGGUAAGUUCCGACCUGCACGAAUGGCGUAAUGAUGGCCAGGCUGUCUCCACCCGGGACUCAGUGAAAUUGAACUCGCUGUGAAGAUGCAGUGUACCCGCGGCAAGACGGAAAGACCCCGUGAACCUUUACUAUAGCUUGACACUGAACACUGGUCCUUGAUGUGCAGGAUAGGUGGGAGGCUUUGAAGUGUGGACGCCAGUCUGCAUGGAGCCAUCCUUGAAAUACCACCCUUUAAUGGCUGGUGUUCUAACGUGGGCCCGUGAACCGGGUUGCGGACAGUGUCUGGUGGGUAGUUUGACUGGGGCGGUCUCCUCCUAAAGAGUAACGGAGGAGCACGAAGGUUGGCUAAUCCUGGUCGGACAUCAGGAGGUUAGUGCAAUGGCAUAAGCCAGCUUGACUGCGAGCGUGACGGCGCGAGCAGGUGCGAAAGCAGGUCAUAGUGAUCCGGUGGUUCUGAAUGGAAGGGCCAUCGCUCAACGGAUAAAAGGUACUCCGGGGAUAACAGGCUGAUACCGCCCAAGAGUUCAUAUCGACGGCGGUGUUUGGCACCUCGAUGUCGGCUCAUCACAUCCUGGGGCUGAAGUAGGUCCCAAGGGUAUGGCUGUUCGCCAUUUAAAGUGGUACGCGAGCUGGGUUUAGAACGUCGUGAGACAGUUCGGUCCCUAUCUGCCGUGGGCGCUGGAAGAUUGAGGGGGGCUGCUCCUAGUACGAGAGGACCGGAGUGGACGCAUCACUGGUGUUCGGGUUGUCAUGCCAAUGGCACUGCCCGGUAGCUACAUGCGGAAGAGAUAAGUGCUGAAAGCAUCUAAGCACGAAACUUGCCCCGAGAUGAAUCUUCCCUGAGCCUUUAAGGCUCCUGAAGGAACGUUGAAGACGACGACGUUGAUAGGCCGGGUGUGUAAGCGCAGCGAUGCGUUGAGCUAACCGGUACUAAUGAACCGUGAGGCUUAACCUUACAAC
rnacentral:rRNA from 1 species